GGGGGGGGGGGGGGGGGGGGGUGGGGGGGGGGGGGCGGGCGGGGGGGGCCUGCUGUUGUGGGGUGCUCUAGUGGCGAACGGUUGAGUAGCACGUGAGUCACCUGCCCUUGCCUUUGGGAUAACUUCAGGAACCUGGGGCUAAUACCGGCUAGGCGCUCCUGCUGCAUGUGGGUGGUUGUCCAGUGUCGGCGGUUGGGGCUGGACUCGCGCUGCAUUAGCUAGUUGGUAAGGUAAUGGCUUACCAAGGCAACGAUGCGUAGCCGACCUUAGAGGGUGAUCGGCCACCCUGGAACUGAGACACGGUCCAGACUCCUACGGGAGGCAGCAGUAGGGAAUCUUCCGCAAUGGGCGAAAGCCUGACGGAGCAACGCCGCGUGAGUGAUGAAGGUCUUCGGAUCGUAAAACUCUGUUAUUAGGGAAGAACAUAUGUGUAAGUAACUGUGCACAUCUUGACGGUACCUAAUCAGAAAGCCACGGCUAACUACGUG
rnacentral:rRNA from 1 species